rnacentral:lncRNA from 1 species
UGCGAUUGAUUAAUUCAAAAUUCAAUUCAGAACAUAACAAGUAGUAUCAAGAGCAUAAUCUUAAAAGAAGACUGGCAAACUUGUAAACCCUAUCAUGGAUUGAACUAUGUCUAAUAAAGUCGAUUUCAAUAAGAGAAAAUUCUUAUUCUCUUCUAGAUAUGUUAAAAAACUCACUAAAAAGGCAUUCUCCUCUUUGGUCU